AGAGUUUGAUCCUGGCUCAGAUUGAACGCUGGCGGCAGGCCUAACACAUGCAAGUCGAGCGGUAGCACAGAGAGCUUGCUCUCGGGUGACGAGCGGCGGACGGGUGAGUAAUGUCUGGGAAACUGCCUGAUGGAGGGGGAUAACUACUGGAAACGGUAGCUAAUACCGCAUAAUGUCGCAAGACCAAAGUGGGGGACCUUCGGGCCUCAUGCCAUCAGAUGUGCCCAGAUGGGAUUAGCUAGUAGGUGGGGUAAUGGCUCACCUAGGCGACGAUCCCUAGCUGGUCUGAGAGGAUGACCAGCCACACUGGAACUGAGACACGGUCCAGACUCCUACGGGAGGCAGCAGUGGGGAAUAUUGCACAAUGGGCGCAAGCCUGAUGCAGCCAUGCCGCGUGUGUGAAGAAGGCCUUCGGGUUGUAAAGCACUUUCAGCGGGGAGGAAGGCGUUAAGGUUAAUAACCUUGGCGAUUGACGUUACCCGCAGAAGAAGCACCGGCUAACUCCGUGCCAGCAGCCGCGGUAAUACGGAGGGUGCAAGCGUUAAUCGGAAUUACUGGGCGUAAAGCGCACGCAGGCGGUCUGUCAAGUCGGAUGUGAAAUCCCCGGGCUCAACCUGGGAACUGCAUUCGAAACUGGCAGGCUAGAGUCUUGUAGAGGGGGGUAGAAUUCCAGGUGUAGCGGUGAAAUGCGUAGAGAUCUGGAGGAAUACCGGUGGCGAAGGCGGCCCCCUGGACAAAGACUGACGCUCAGGUGCGAAAGCGUGGGGAGCAAACAGGAUUAGAUACCCUGGUAGUCCACGCCGUAAACGAUGUCGAUUUGGAGGUUGUGCCCUUGAGGCGUGGCUUCCGGAGCUAACGCGUUAAAUCGACCGCCUGGGGAGUACGGCCGCAAGGUUAAACUCAAAUGAAUUGACGGGGGCCCCCACAACCGUGGAACAUGUGGUUUAUUCCAUGCACGCGAAGAACUUACCUGGGCUUGAAUCCACAAACUUAUCAAAAAAGCUUUGUGCCUUCCGGACAUUGAGAAAAGAGGUGGUGUGUGUCUUCACCCCCGUUUGGAAAAAUGGGGUUAAUUCCCCACAAAGCAACCCUUAUUUUUUUGUCUCCGGUUAGGCCGGGACUCAAGAGACUGCCCGGUAAAUUGGGGAAGGGGGGGAUGACGUCAAGUCAUCAUGGCCCUUACGACCAGGGCUACACACGUGCUACAAUGGCAUAUACAAAGAGAAGCGACCUCGCGAGAGCAAGCGGACCUCAUAAAGUAUGUCGUAGUCCGGAUUGGAGUCUGCAACUCGACUCCAUGAAGUCGGAAUCGCUAGUAAUCGUAGAUCAGAAUGCUACGGUGAAUACGUUCCCGGGCCUUGCACACACCGCCCGUC
rnacentral:rRNA from 1 species